GGGAAUAUAGCUCAGUGGUAGAAUACUUGCCUAGCAUGCAUGAGGCUCUGGGUUUAAUCCUCAGUAUUGCUU
rnacentral:tRNA from 2 species